GCAGGCCUCACAUCCUAUAUCCUCUCCCCCCGCUCCGGCUCCGCUCGCAACACCCACCCCCCUCCUCAUUCCUUCUCGCCUCCUACCCCUUCCUCUGCUUCUCCUUCUUCCUCCUCCUCUGCGGGAGCAGGAGGGGGCUUAAACCCUUCCGCCGUCGGCUGCCACCGCGCCAUUCGCGCUCGAGGGUAGUCGCCGCCGGGCCGGAGGGUGGGAGCGUGAGACUAAGAGCGAGGCAGGGCAGGGAAGCCAAUGGCCCCCAAGGCCGGCCGUGGCAAGGGCAGGGGCGGCGGCGGCGGCAAAGGCGACAAGAGGAAGAAGGAGGAGAAAGUUGUGCCCAGCGUGGUAGACGUCACGGUCGUCACCCCCUACGAAUCCCAGGUGACACUCAAGGGCAUAUCCACGGACCGUGUUCUGGACGUGCGGAAGCUGCUGGGGUCCAACGUGGAGACGUGUCACCUGACAAACUAUUCACUCUCCCAUGUGGCACGCGGGCCGCGGCUGGAGGACGGCGUGGAAAUCGUUGCGCUCAAGCCCUGCACGCUCCGGAUCGUGGAAGAGGAGUACGCGACAGAGCAGCAGGCGGUGGCGCACGUCCGCCGGCUGCUGGACAUCGUCGCCUGCACCACCGCGUUCGCCAAGCCCCGGGACGGCGCCGCCAAGCACAAGUCGUCCAAGCACGGGCGCCCCGCGACGCCGCCCUCCCCGCCCGCGCCCGCCUCCACUGGGGCCAAUGGCGGCGGCAGCACUGGCGAGGGCGCGCCGCCGAUAUCGGAGGCGCACGACAUGGCGGCCAUCCGCCCGCCGCCGAAGCUGGGGGAGUUCUACGACUUCUUCUCCUUCGCCCACCUCACCCCGCCCGUCCACUUUAUCAGGAGGAAGGAGGCGAAUGGCGCUUCUCAGGAAGGCGAUUACUUCGAAAUCGAGGUGAAGGUUUGCAACGGCAAGCUUCUGCAUGUAGUUGCUUCAGUAAAGGGUUUCUACUUGGCAGGGAAGCCGCACAACGUAAGCCACUCCCUGGUGGACCUACUGCAGCAGCUCAGCAAUGCAUUUGCAAAUGCAUACGAGGCAUUAAUGAAAGCUUUUGUGGAUCACAACAAGUUUGGGAAUUUGCCGUAUGGAUUCCGUGCAAACACAUGGCUUAUCCCUCCAAUAUAUGUUGACCCUGCUACGAAGUGUCCAGCACUGCCAGUCGAGGAUGAGAAUUGGGGUGGUAAUGGGGGUGGCAAUGGACGCGACGGAAAAUAUGACAUCAGACGGUGGUCAAAAGACUUUUCUGUUUUGGCAAGAAUGCCAUGCAAAACUGAGGAAGAGCGGGUGAUCCGGGACCGGAAAACUUUUCUUUUACACAAUCUGUUUGUAGAUACAGCAAUUUUUAGAGCUGCAUCAACAAUAAGGCGUCUCGUUAAUCAGUCUAUGAACUCAACUGGUGCGCAUAGUGGUAUGCCUGGUUCAAACAUAUUUGAGGAACGUGUCGGGGACAUGCAUAUAACUGUGAAGAAGGAUGGGGCUGAUGCUAGUCUGAAGCUGGAGGACAAGGUUGAUGGUGUUGCCUUCUGUCCAACGGGGGCUAUGGAUAUCACACAAAGAAAUAUUCUGAAAGGUUUGACUUCUGAUGAAAGUGUUGUUGUUAAGGAUUCUUCAAUGCUAGGAGUGGUGAUUGUCAAGCAUUGUGGAUAUACAGCAACUGUGAAGGUUUCUGAACGCGCAAAGGAUAGUAAUGAUGUUAAACAAACCUAUGAUACCUCUGAUAAUCUUGAUGGAGUGCUGAACAUUGAUGUGGAUGACCAUCCGGAUGGAGGUUCAAAUGCCUUGAAUAUCAACAGUUUAAGAAUACCACUCCCGAGAAUUAUCAAUCCAGAAACAGCUGUUGGUAACCAGUAUCCGAGCCCAAAGUCUCAUGCUAGUAAUCCUGCACGGAAACUGGCACGCACAGUACUUGAGGACAGCUUGAGAAAGAUGGAUAGCAUGCCUAACAAAAAUCCUAGAAUUAUCAGAUGGGAACUUGGAUCCUCCUGGCUGCAGCACUUGCAGAAAAAGGAUUCUCCAAAGUCUGAUAAUGGUAAGGAAAACAAAAUAAAGGCUGACAAAGAACCAGCUGUCAAAGGUCUUGGAAAGCAUUUUGAACAAUUAAGGAAAAUAAAAAAGAAAGAAUGCAACAUUGAAGGUUCUGGUUCUGAGAAGGAAGAAUCUAACAGUAAUUGUUCACCAGUGAAUGGUAUGCUAGAAUCAGAUAAGAUAGCUGUUGAUGAAACCAUUAAGGGGGCUGAUAUAAGCAAGCUAAUGUCAGAGGAUGCUUUCUUUCGGUUGAAGAAUUUGGGAGCUGGCCUUCAUGAAAAGUCCCUUGAAGAACUCACAGAGAUGGCCCAUAAUUUCUAUGAUGAUACUGCACUCCCAAAGCUGGUGUCUGAUUUUGCAUCCCUUGAACUUUCUCCGGUCGAUGGAAGAACCAUGACAGAUUUCAUGCAUACAAGGGGACUUAACAUGUCCUCCUUGGGUCGUGUGGUAGAGCUAGCAGAGAAGCUCCCACAUAUCCAGUCUAUAUGCAUUCAUGAGAUGGUCAUUAGGUCGUUUAAGCAUGUCAUCAGAGCUGUUAUUGCUGCUGUUGAUGACAUGCAAAAUAUGUCUGCAGCUAUAGCUGAGACUCUAAACAUAUUACUAGGAUCCCCCAGACUUGAAAAUGGUGCUGAUACGGAUGCACAUAUCGAGCAUAAUUUGCGAUUGAAAUGGGUAGAGAGCUUCCUUUCAAAAAGAUUCAACUGGAAACUGAAAGAUGAAUUUGCACACCUGCGAAAAUUUAUCAUUCUGAGAGGGCUUUGCAGCAAGGUUGGACUAGAGUUGGUUGCAAAAGAUUACAAUAUGAAUAGCCCUAACCCAUUCGACAAGUCUGACAUUAUCAGCAUUGUUCCUGUAUGCAAGCAUGUGGUCUACUCCUCAAUUGAUGGUCGAAACUUGCUGGAAUCAUCGAAGGUGGCAUUGGAUAAAGGAAAACUAGACGAUGCUGUCAGCUACGGAACAAAGGCUUUGUCCAAAAUUAUAGCUGUCUGUGGUCCAUACCAUCGACUGACUGCUAAUGCAUACAGCCUUCUUGCUGUUGUCCUUUAUCAUACUGGAGAUUUUAAUCAGGCAACUAUAUAUCAGCAAAAGGCACUUGAUAUCAAUGAAAGGGAACUUGGUCUUGAUCAUCCGGAAACUAUGAAGAGUUAUGGGGAUUUAUCUGUCUUCUACUACCGACUGCAACACAUUGAAAUGGCUUUAAAGUAUGUCAACCGUGCACUAUAUCUGCUUCAAUUUUCGUGUGGGCUUUCACACCCAAAUUCAGCUGCCACCUACAUUAAUGUGGCUAUGAUGGAAGAAGGCAUGGGAAAUGUCCAUGUUGCUCUUCGGUACUUGCAUGAAGCCCUGAAGUGCAACAAGAGAUUGCUAGGAGCUGAUCACAUCCAGACUGCUGCAAGCUACCAUGCCAUAGCCAUAGCCCUUUCGAUGAUGGACGCAUACUCCCUAAGCGUGCAACAUGAACAAACCACCUUGCAGAUCCUUCAGGAGAAACUAGGGCAAGAUGACCUCCGAACUCAGGAUGCUGCUGCAUGGCUAGAGUAUUUCGAGUCAAAAGCAUUAGAACAACAAGAGGCUGCUCGGAGAGGAAUGCCAAAACCUGAUUCAUCUAUUGCUAGUAAAGGACAUCUUAGAUUGAAACAUCUAUCUUUCCAGCGUAUCAGAUCUUCUUGACUUCAUUAGUCCGGACCAAGAAAGGAAAGAGAGGGAUAUGCAAAGGAAAUGCAGGCGUGCAAAGAAUAAUAUCAGAGCCCAACAUGGUGAAUCAGUUGAAGAAAAGGAGAACUUCAAGCUUGAUUCAGGAUCUUCUCUUGAAGCAACCAAAGAUGUAUUUCAAGAACAAAAACUGGACGCGCAUCCUCCUGUGGUAUUAGAAGAAAAUUACGCUGCCCAUGAUGAGCAGAAGCAAUCCGAUGUUUUGUCACCUGAAGAAUAUUCUGAUGAAGGGUGGCAAGCAGCUAGUUUGACCGGGCGAUCUGCAAAUAUAAGGAGGAAAUGCAGUCGCAGGAAGCCAGCUCUCACAAAAUUAAUGGUUGAUCGCUUCGAAGAUGGUCAGACAGGUUCUGUUUAUAGGAGUGGUUUCAAGCCGCAAACAAAGGGAGACAAAGAAGAUGCUGCAAGUGCUCCUAGCCAACUCUCCUUUGGUAGCUUUUUAAAAACCGACAAGUUGAAUGGGGAUACCAACAUUGUUGAAGAGAAGUCUUGCAAUACUACGGCUAAACCAGAACAGCAAGCAAAACCCACAGGAAUUAACAGGCCAACUAGUAUUGCUUCCAAGUUUGUAUCAUACAAAGAUGUGGCUGUUUCGCCCCCUGGCACGGUAUUGAAGCCAAUUUUGGAGAAGAACGAAGAAAAGGAGAAAGAAAACAAACAUGAUGCUGAUGUAACACUGUCGUCCGAGGAAGAGGACAGAAAAUUUACAGAAAAAGAGAAGGAAAAGCCAAAUGAUGAUAGCAGCAAAGAUGUUCUUUCAAGUCAGCCAGACGGAAUCGGUCAGCAAGAAACACCUCCUGACAGCAACAGCGACGAUAGCCCCUCAGAACUUAAGAAAGCAUCUGGAAGCAAACUGUCUGCUUCAGCACCUCCAUUCAAUCCGGGAUCACUUUUAUCAAUGUCACACCCAUACAGCACAGUGGCAAUAUAUGAUGCUAGUGCUGUCCUUCAGGCAAUACCAAGCCAAGCAAUGGAGAUUCCUCCUCAUGCCAUUGAUACUAGAGUGCCUCGUGGUCCUCGGUCCACCUUGUACUAUCGUACUGGGCAUUCUUUCCAAAGGAAACAAGGUUACACACACAGCCAGAGCACUGUUGUAAGGGGUAGCUACUCCCCCACGACCAUGAAUCCCCAUGCUGCUGAGUUUGUGCCUGGAAAAACUGUUCAGCAAUCUGAUGUGGCUGACAGAGAACCCAGUCCUGCUAAUCCUGUGACUGAUUCUGACCAGGAUGUGGUUUCACAGAUCACAGAUGAAGUAAAGGCUGAAACGUUCACCGCAGAAAAGGCAGGUCAAAUUGAGAAAGUCGUUUCAGGUAAAGGAAAGGAAAACAGAGGGAAAGACAUCUUAAGAAAUUCGUACAAAACAGAACUUGCAAGGCAAAUUUUGCUCAGUUUCAUUGUGAAGUCGGUGCAUGAUAGUUUAGGUUCCACUGCUGCUGUACCAGACAGAAAACCAAGUGGUUCAGAUGAAGCCAAUAAUGAACAGGGCAGCAACAUAAGCAAGAACGCAUCUGGUCGGCAAGAUUCUGAUAAACAACAGAAAGCCAUGGAGGUGCCUAAAGGUCUGAAGGAUACAGAGGGAUUUACAAUGGUUUUAAAACGUCGAAGGAGGCCACAGCCAUUCAUGAACCCCAUAAAUGGUCUCUAUUCUCAGCAGUCUAUUUGCACUUCUGUCAGUUAAGGUGUCUAUGCUUAGACGGUUGGUAGCAGAAUUUUGCCCUACCCAAGUGAGCGAGCAUGUAGUCAAACUGUACAAAAAUUUUCCGGAAUACCCUUGGUAAUAAAUCCAUUGUAAUUUGGGGUAGCUGUAGCGCUGAAUAAAAUAUCGCCUCUGUAUGUUAUAAGACAGAAUCAUAGGAUAUAUAUAGCAGAUGUUAAGUUCAUCCAAUGUUCCAGUGGAGGUUCGCCUUUCAGUGUU